CCAACCCUGGCUGACAGCUCACUCGGAAGAUUCUAGAUCCCAAUUCUAGAAGUUCUGAUGCAUUAGCUCUGGGAUUUACGAACUUCCCCAGACCACUUGUCAAGCCUCUGUGACCUGAGAUGUGGCUACACUUUCCAUCACAUCAUUGUCAUGAGAUCAUAGGGAAACAGGCCAGAAGAGGGAACCUGAUCUCAUUACAGAUGGUUGUGAGCCACCAUGUGGUUGUUGGGAAUUGAACUCAGGACCUCUGGAAGAACAGCCAGUGCUCUUAACCUCUGAGCCAUCUCUCCAGCCCGGGAGAAUAUGUUUUACGUAUAAUAUAUAAUUGCAUGGAAAUAAAAA